CAGUCGCCGCGGUAAUGCGUAGGUGGCAAGCGUUGUCCGGAAUUAUUGGGCGUAAAGGGCUCGCAGGCGGUUUCUUAAGUCUGAUGUGAAAGCCCCCGGCUCAACCGGGGAGGGUCAUUGGAAACUGGGAAACUUGAGUGCAGAAGAGGAGAGUGGAAUUCCACGUGUAGCGGUGAAAUGCGUAGAGAUGUGGAGGAACACCAGUGGCGAAGGCGACUCUCUGGUCUGUAACUGACGCUGAGGAGCGAAAGCGUGGGGAGCGAACAGGAUUAGAUACCCCAGUAGUCCCUGUCUCUUAUAC
rnacentral:rRNA from 1 species